GAUGAACGCUGGCGGCGUGCCUAAUACAUGCAAGUCGAGCGAACAGAUAAGGAGCUUGCGCCUUUGACGUGAGCGGAGCGCGUGUGAGAAACGCGUGGAUCACCUACUUGUCAGAGGGGUAUAACUCCGGGAAACGGGGGCAUAUGGGGGAUGAGCUCUAGAAGCGCAGGGUUCUAAGGAGAGAGACGGUGGUGCUAGCAGGUAUAGAGGGACACGCGCCGUAUUGGCUCGUAGGUAAGGUCAAGGCCUACCACGGCUACGAGUCGUAAGCGACGUGAGAGGGUGAUCGGCGACACUGGAACUGGGCCACCGUCCAGACUCCUACGGGAGGCACCAGUAGGGAACCGGCCGCAAUAGGCGAAAGUCUGACGGAGCGACGCCGCGUGAGUGAUGAAGGCCUUCGGAGCGUAAAGCUGUGUUAUUAGUGAAGAACAAAUUUGGAAGUAACUGUGCCCGUAUUGACGGUACCGAAUCAGAAAGCACCGGCUAACUACGUG
rnacentral:rRNA from 1 species